rnacentral:rRNA from 1 species
UUGUACACACCGCCCGUCACCCCACGAGAGUUUGUAACACCCGAAGUCGGUGAGGUAACCUUUUAGGAGCCAGCCGCCGAAGGUGGGACAGAUGAUUGGGGUGAAGUUGUAACAAGGUAGCCGUAUCGGAAGGUGCGGCUGGAUCACCUCCUUUUUA